rnacentral:lncRNA from 1 species
GCCCCCGUGCCCAGCUGCCCGCACGCUCGGGGCUCCAGGCACCCCGGCCCGUGACGCCCUCGAAAGAAGUCCGGGACACCCUCGAAGGAAGCCCAGGGCCGCGUCCGUCGAGCGAGGCGUGAGGCAAGCAGCUGCCUGGAAGGCGGAUUCAAGCGGCUGUAGCCCCGGUGGGAACACACCUCCACCGAAACCCGGGUGCACUGGUCGGAGCCCGGACCUGGGGUGGCUGCAGCUGCCCCAGGGAAGGGACGGCUGGACUCGGGCUCUGCAGGCGUAGAGGUCACUGGCAGGACUGCGGCUUCGCAGGCCCGAGAGCACCCUCCCUGGUCGGCGCGCUCCCUGGAGUAACGGUGGCACAGGCUGUUGCCCCGGGCGUCUAGGGGAGCUCGCGGUGGGAGAGAGUGCCUUGGGAUCCUGGGGCAGCUCCAACGAGAGAGAUCCACGGCCCUUGCCUGCCCAGUGGGGUAAGGAUAACUAGACUUCAGGUGUUCUGGACUCUUGGCCUCUCUACCUUGUUUCACUUGUGGUCCCCGGGACUCAGCCACUUCCCGGGGACGCUGGCAGAAGUCCCUUCCGGCAGGAAUUAAGGGAAGGCCUGAGUCCUACGGCGUCAGCCAAAAGCUGUGCGAUUUUCUCCGACCCAUUAGGAGCUGCUCCUGGUCCCCUAUCCCCGGGUCCAGGGGGAUCACAGCUGCGCGCAGCCCCGCUUUUGCCGUUUUGCACGUGUUUUCUAUUGAAGCCUUGACGCUACCCGGUGUGGCUUCGGUUCUGUGCAGCUCCACUCGCCUGCGGGGCAAGGGGGCAUUUUCUUGAUUGACGCCCUCCUGCGGUAGUCACACCUCGCGGUGAGCGGUUUCUGCUAAGGUCCUCCAUGAACCGUGGAAAUGAGAGGACUUCCCGGCUUUUUCUAUUCAGCGUUUUUAUUUGCCUCUUGGAAUUAUUUCUCCGACUGCAGCAGAACGGCAGUAGGAAGAGUGGGCUGGAAGCCGGAUGGCCUGGAUUCAAGUUUAAGUCUGCACUUUUUUGUUGAGCACCUACUGUGUGCCAGCAGUGUACAAGACAGAUUUUGUUCCUGUCCUCGAAGUGGCUGGAAACAAAUUUAAUACAGUGACUUAUGUAUGUGCUAGGAAGAAGUAUGUGAUGUUUGAAAAAUGAGUAGGUGUGAAGGAGCCUAGAGAGGGACUAACACUUCAAACCCAGGGAAUAACAUGUGAGAGUAGUCAAUACAGCUUUUCAAGUUGGGUUCCCUGAGUUUUUCUCAUCUGAAACAUUUAAGACUUUAAACAUUUCUAAUCCUUUUGAAUUCAGGUCAUAGGCAUCUAUCAGAAUCUGAUGACAGACCAGAGCUACAAACACAGACAAACACAGCACGUAUAAUAUGCUGUCAUUUGGGUUAAAACUUUGGUAGAGGGCAAGAAUAUUUAUCUGUGCUUAUGCUCUAUUUUAUAAACCAUCUCUGUAAGGAUAGACAAAAAACUUAUAACGUUGGCUGUCUAUGAAGAGAGAGGUGGAGUAGGGAAAAGAAUGUACUGUACACUUUGUGACUAUCUGGAGAAUUGAACCGUGUGGAUGUGGGACCUAUUCAUAGUAUAAGCUGGUCCUUGAAAGAGUGGCUGGUUCUAGGUCUGGGGCAGGAAAAGUACAAGGUGAGCUCAAGGCAUCUUGUGCCAGAAAUCACGAGAGGAAACAGGAACUGGCUUGAAGGGGCUUCCAUUGGCCCAAUUUGGGGUAAUUGUAGGCAUCGAAACACAUUAUGGAUUAUGAGAUCAUAGAAUCAUUAUCUGUAGUGAUCCUCAAAGAAAGAGAAAAAGGGAUGGUAGGUGGUAAAGCUGGAAGAAUGCUAGCUAGCUAAGAAAUGUAGAAAGAUUGAUAAAAUCAAAAAAUGUAAUAAUUCAUUCAAGAAUCAUUGGACACCAAAACCAUCAAGUGGACACUGUUGAGGAUGAGAAUUUUCACAAGGUAUCAUAGUAUCACCCCAGUUGAUUAGAUUCUGGAUAUUUUUUAAGCUAUAAAAGACUUUCCUAUAAAAAUGGAGAUAACAGGGGAAAACUGAACAGGGAUUGUGUGUGAGAUGACAUUAUUAAACUAAUGGUCAUUGUUUUAGGUGUGAUAUUGGUAUUGUGGGUAAAAUGUCCUUAUUCUGGGAGAUACAAGCUAAGGAAUUUAGGUGUGAAGGGUCAUGAAAUCUGCAACUUUUGAAUCAGCAUACACACACACAUAUACAUAUGUACAUAUAUGUAAAGAGGGAGAUAAACCAAAGUAGAAAAAUUGUCACUGACGGAUUUAAGUGAGGAGUAUACAGACAUUCAUUGUACUAGUUUCAGCUUCUCUAUAGAUUUGAAAAUUUUAAUAUAAAUACUUUAUGAGUUUAUAUGUUAAAAAGUAAAAACAUUGUCUUAGGUUUUUCAAAAGAUAAAAAUUAUUUGAAUUAUUUGUUAAGUCUGCAUACAAGUUCAGGUAGUGCAUUGCUCUUGAAAACCAUCUGUGCAAGGCUGUUUGCAAAUCAUUGGUCUCUCCAGGGUCUGGUCUGAUGUUGUGCCCCCUCCACUGGUCAUAAUUCUCCUCACAUGGCCUGAUAGAGAAUUCAAGCCGGUACUGAGAGACUGUGAAAAGUAAAGUGUUCUGUACUAAGGACAGAGACGGGAUUUGGGGACGAAGAAAGGACAGGUGUUAUGUUAAAGGACUUCACAAAUGAUGUUUGCAUCUUCAAGAUUGAGACCUCAGUAAAUGAAGCAGAUUAACUAUGAUUAUUAUUUUCUCACAAAAUGUUUCUCCCUCAUCUUUGUUUUUCUCCUUUUUCCUCCCCUUCUCCCUUUAGCAAGUGAUUGCGAUGAUUGCUCCAAUUCUUGUAAUACUCGUACUGUUGAUCAAUAGCCAGCCUUCCUUCCCCAUCUUCAUAAAUAGUAUGGGUUUAUAGUUUAUUCCGUGCAUGACUCAGCCAUCAGCCAUAAAGAUCUAAAUCUACAAAUGUUCCAAAAAUAAAUAUUAAAAUAGCAAGGAAAUAAUCACUAAUAUAGGAAAAGGAAGCAUCAUUCCUUUCUUUGAUUUAGCCACAGACCCUGUGAGGUGGAUGGGGAUCUUAAAAGGCAUUGGUAUAACAUUCCAAUUUAGCUACAUAAUCCUCACCAGCAAAUUGAAGCACUUAAUUCUGUUAAGCUAUAUAACACCACCUCUUCUAAAUCCAGUCGUCAGAUCCAUGUUCAUUUUGCUAUAGUUAAAAAAAAAUUACAGCCACAUUUGUGAAUGUCACAUGCAUUGAACUACAUAAUUUUUAAUAUCACUUGUGUAGGUUUUAUAGUUGGUUUUAUUGUUUUAAAAGUCAUUUGGGGCUUUAAAAGAACUAGAUUUUUCCAAAGUUGUCCUUAUAAUUUUUUUUUCACACAGUCAGAACUAAUAAAACAAAACAGUUGUAGCUAUUUAAUUCAAAAUCUCUUGGAGUUUCAAUAUUUUUUCUCUGCUGGAUACUAAAACCAAUAAAGCUACAUGAGAUUUUAAUUAUAUUCUGAAUUAAACAAGACCCUCUCUAAAAAUUUGGCACCAUUUAUUUUAGUCACUGUUAUUGUGCAAGAUACCAGACUUUGUAAAAAGAAGAGAAGGUGGUUCUUACCUCUGAUUUAUCUAGCAGGAAAUUAGGUAAUUUUUUUUGCAACUUAUUUUCAGUAAUGUACAUAGAUGUCAAACUUCACAUUAGCUAUAGCUUGAGAAAAUCAGUGGAUUUUAUUAUAACUAUUUAAUUCUAUUUUUGCUUACACUAAAAGUUUUUUUAAUCUUCAGUUGUUGGAAUGACAUUUAUUAAAUCACAUAUUAAAUCAUUGUAUUAUAUUUUACUUAAAAUUUGACAAAAUUAAUUAAUGUUUUAGGGCUUUACUAACUUACAAAAUGCUACUGUGAUCAAAUAGAAAUAUCUUGUGCCAUGAAUGGGAUCAGAGCUCUGGAACAUACAGGCGAUAGUCAUCAUGCUGCUUCAGUGGUGUUCACAUUUUACAUACUAUAAUUACGUAACAUCAUAAUGAGGAUAAAUUUUACCAACCAGUGAGCUUCGGGUGGAGUUUAUGAUAUUUAUUUGCUCAAUUUAAAAAAGUGAUGAAGGAGUUCCCAUCGUGGCCCAGUGGUUAACAAAUCCAACUAGCAACCAUGAGGUUGUGGGUUCGAUCCCUGGUCUCAUUCAGUGGGUUAAGGAUCCAGCGUUGCCGUGAGCUGUGGUGUAGGUUGCAGAUGCGGCUCAGAUCUCGCGUUGCUGUGGCUCUGGUGUAGGCCGGUGGCUACAGCUCCGAUUAGACCCCUAGCCUGCGAACCUCCACGUGCCACGGAAGCUGUCCUAGAAAAGGCAAAAAGACAAAAAAAUAAAAUAAAUAAAAAAGUGUUGAAGAACUCAAAAAAGAUAGAGAACCUUAUUUUUUAAAUGGGCAAAAGAUAACAGACAUUUCUCCAAAGAUACACAAAUGGUCAAUAAGCACAUGAAAAAAAUGUUCUACAUCAUUAGUCAUCAGGGAAAUGCAAAUCAAAACCACAGUUAGAUACCACUUGACACUCAUUAGGCUACCUUUGAUAAUUUCUUUUUUUAAAAAAAACGACAGGAGUUCCUGUCAUGGCACAGUGGUUAACGAAUCCAACUAGGAACCAUGAGGUUUCAGGUUCGAUCCCUGCCCUUGCUUAGUGGUUGACGAUCUGGCGUUGCUGUGAGCUGUGGUAUAGGUCGCAGACAGGGCUCGAAUCCCCCAUUGCUGUGGCUAUGGAGUAGGCUGGUGGCUACAGUUCCGAUUCGACCCCUAGCCUGGGAACCUCCAUAUACCGCGGGAGUGGCCCAAGAAAU